UGAGGAACUUGUCCCGGUCCCUGGGAUAACAGUUGGAAACGACUGCUAAUACCGGAUGACGUCGGAACUUCGCAUGGAGUACUGACGAAAGGGUUACUGGAUCGGGAGAGCCUCGCGGCCUAUCAGCUUGUUGGUGGGGUAAUGGCCUACCAAGGCAUCGACGGGUAGCUGGUCUGAGAGGAUGAUCAGCCACACUGGGACUGAGACACGGCCCAGACCUCCGUACGGGAGG
rnacentral:rRNA from 1 species